rnacentral:rRNA from 1 species
CCGGCGCACGGGUGAGUAACGCGUAUCCAACCUUACCAUUACUGUGGGAUAACCUGCCGAAAGGCAGACUAAUACCGCAUAGUCUUCGAUGACGGCAUCAGAUUUGAAGUAAAGAUUUAUCGGUAAUGGAUGGGGAUGCGUCUGAUUAGCUUGUUGGCAGGGUAACGGCCCACCAAGGCGACGAUCAGUAGGGGUUCUGAGAGGAAGGUCCCCCACAUUGGAACUGAGACACGGUCCAAACUCCUACGGGAGGCAGCAGCC